CAGGCAAUGAAUAAUGCCAUGUUCAAUAUUCUAAAUUUGUGUUCCAAAUUCUGAAUUUCCAAUGAGCUGCAUGGAACUCUGCUGAUAAGUGACUGAUUUUCCCUGCAAGGAUUGUCUUAUUUUAAACUUCAAAUUUAGUUGCCUUACUUUAUGCAAGGCAAUUUUGAAUGGAUUUUAAAGUGAGGAUGAAGACUAUUCACACUUUUCUAAACCUAGAAGGCAGAAGAAGCCAUAUUAUAAGUACUAGGAUAAUGUGAGAAAGCCUUUCUUAGAGCCUUUCCAGCAGAAGAGGAAGGAAGGAUUGCCAACAGUCACCGCUCAGAGAAUGUCUUUUCAUGAGAGGAGCCAGCCUUGGGACAAACCUGACUCCCAGAUGAGGUCAAAGCCAAGGAAACCUCAGGGAAGUGGAGCCCGAGGCCUGAGGACACUAAAGGUUUGGAUUAAAUCCCGGCCAGGAGACCUACCUCUAGACUUUCAGCCACAGAAGGAAAGAAGUUCUCCUACACACACACACACACACACACAACCGCACACACGCACACAACCGCACACACACACACAACCGCACACACACAUGCAACCGCACACACAUUCUCACACACUCUUCUCUUUAAGUCAGAGAGUUCUGACACCAGAAACCAAAAGAAUUCUUUACUAA
rnacentral:lncRNA from 1 species